GCCCCCGUAGCUCAGUGGAUAGAGCAGCGGUUUCCUAAACCGCGUGUCGUGCGUUCGAGUCGCGCCGGGGGCG
rnacentral:tRNA from 1 species